rnacentral:rRNA from 1 species
CCACACUAAAAAAACUUUCCACGUGAACCGUAUCAAACCCCUAUAAUUUGGGGGCUUGCUCGGCGGCGUGCGUGCUGGCCCUGUAAUGGGUCGGCGUGCUGCUGCUGGGCGGGCUCUAUCAUGGGCGAGCGUUUGGGCUUCGGCUCGAGCUAGUAGCUAUCAAUUUUAAACCCUUUCUUAAAUACUGAACAUACUGUGGGGACGAAAGUCUCUGCUUUUAACUAGAUAGCAACUUUCAGCAGUGGAUGUCUAGGCUCGCACAUCGAUGAAGAACGCUGCGAACUGCGAUACGUAAUGCGAAUUGCAGGAUUCAGUGAGUCAUCGAAAUUUUGAACGCAUAUUGCACUUCCGGGUUAGUCCUGGGAGUAUGCCUGUAUCAGUGUCCGUACAUCAACCUUGGUUUUCUUCCUUCCGUGUAGUCGGUGGAGGAUAUGCCAGACGUGAAGUGUCUUGCUGGCGGUCUUUCGAGUCUGCCGGUGAGUCCUUUGAAAUGUACUGAACUGUACUCUCUCUUUGCGCGAAAAGCGUGGCGUUGCUGGUUGUGGAGGCUGCCUGUGUGGCCAGUCGGCGACCGGUUUGUUAGCUGUGACGUUUAAUGGAGGAGUGUUCGAUUCGCGGUAUGGUUGGCUUCGGCUGAACAAUCUGCUUAUUGGGUGCUUUUCCUGUCAUUGGCGGUACGAACUGGUGAACCGUAGCUGUGUGGUGCUUGGCUUUUGAACCGGCUUUUUUUGGGAAGUAGUGUGACGGCUUUGGCUGUCGAGGGGUCCCAUUCAGUUUGGAAACUUUUGUGUGUGCGGCUUCGUGCGUGCGCGCAUCUCAA